GGGUUGUGAGGUUAAGCGACUAAGCGUACACGGUGGAUGCCCUGGCAGUCAGAGGCGAUGAAGGACGUGCUAAUCUGCGAAAAGCGUCGGUAAGGUGAUAUGAACCGUUAUAGCCGGCGAUGUCCGAAUGGGGAAACCCAGUGCAAUUCGUUGCACUAUCGUUUGAUGAAUACAUAGUCAAACGAGGCGAACCGGGGGAACUGAAACAUCUAAGUACCCCGAGGAAAAGAAAUCAACCGAGAUUCCCCCAGUAGCGGCGAGCGAACGGGGAGCAGCCCGGAGUCUGAAUCAGCUUGUGUGUUAGUGGAAGCGUCUGGAAAGUCGCAGGGUACAGGGUGAUACUCCCGUACACUAAAACACACAGGUUGUGAACUCGAAGAGUAGGGCGGGACACGUGGUAUCCUGUCUGAAUAUGGGGGGACCAUCCUCCAAGGCUAAAUACUCCUGACUGACCGAUAGUGAACCAGUACCGUGAGGGAAAGGCGAAAAGAACCCCGGCGAGGGGAGUGAAAAAGAACCUGAAACCGUGUACGUACAAGCAGUAGGAGCCCCACCACCAAAGCGUUUCGCUUUGCGUGGUGCGCAAAAUGCGUAACGACAGCGCGAUGGACGGUUAACGGAGCGUAAGCGACGUUCAACAUCAAAAAUCAGGCAGUGGAGCGUUUUGGGGUGGGGUGACUGCGUACCUUUUGUAUAAUGGGUCAGCGACUUAUAUUCUGUAGCAAGGUUAACCGUAUAGGGGAGCCGCAGGGAAACCGAGUCUUAACUGGGCGUUAAGUUGCAGGGUAUAGACCCGAAA
rnacentral:rRNA from 1 species